CCGGUUGUAUCAAACUUUAAUGAUGCAUUAACGUGUCAUUAAACCUUCAUUAACUAAUGUAUUAUUAAAUCCAGUUGUACUAACGUUUUAAUGACGUCGUGGUGUCAUUAGCGCGUCAUUAACCCUUUCGCCCCGACUGCCCGAUUUAUUGGGCAGCAUAAACCGUGUCCCAGUACCCGGCUGCCCGAAAAAUCGGGCGGCUACUGUCCAAGCCCCACACACGGCUGCCCGAUAAAUCGGGCGGCGCGACCGUGUUUACAAAAUCGCUCUUUCAACUUCCUUUCUCGUGUGUAAUCUCGUUCUAAAUAUGGAAACGAGAUUUACAUGUGACUGACACGUCAUUCGCUGGAAUUUCCCAGUCUUUUUGGCGCGAAAAUCGCGAAUGUCACCUGUUUUCGCGACAGGUAUUUUUCUCGCUUGAAUCGUAAAUCUAGCGUAAUGGCGGCCAACUACGAUUCGGAUAGCGAUCAGAUGACUAACAACGACUCUAUCGGGUAUAAUAAUGUGUUUUAUUUGAAUAAUUUACGUGAAGGGGAGAGGGAAUUUCGUGAAGAUUUUGGUGAAGAUUUUGACGGUUUCGACGAGGUGUCCCCCCCCCGCCAACUUUCAAGAAUGGGAGUGGCAGAGGGACCACAACGGUGGAGACAUGAGAGAUUUUGAAGAGGCGACCGGAAUCAAGAAUAUAUAUUGACACGGUGAGUGAAAUAUCGUGCUAUUGAUUUUUUCCAACUGUUUUACAAUGAUUCUGUGUUUGAACAGAUUAUCAGUGCGACGAAUGAGAAUGCAGCCUACAGGUGAACGAGCGAUCACAACAACAACAAAGAUGUGCAUGAAGAGAAUUUACCUGUAACACCUGGGAUUACCUGCGCCGUCCAAGAUGACAAGACCACUGUGUUAUGUUUACCUUGUAUCUGUGAUUUAUUUUUGUGAUUUUUAAUACAAUUUGAGCCAAAA